GCGGGGAGAGGCGCGAGAGAAGGAACUGCGCGCUCCGGGAGGCCCUCCCCGAGGAGCUCAGGCCGGGCUGCGGACCCCGGUUCCAGCUCCUCCUGAGAUGCUGGGCCGCGGCUGUGCUCACCGGUGGUCGCAGCUCGCCGGUCUCCGAGGGGACUGGUCACAAUGGUCCUACAGCUGUAGCUGUUUGGGGCGAGGGCGACCUCAUUUGUGUCUCAGGGGAAAUCGAACACAGACGCCCCCGCGGUUCCCUCCGUCGUCGUCAGCGAGGGCGCAGGUCUUCAGGAAGCCGCACAGCUGUUGCCUCAGUCGAAGUCCGGAACCAGGGACCCGAAUUGAAGUCCUUGGCCAUUCUGCUGACGAGCAUGAGGCCUUGCAAAGCUUGACUCGCCCCUCAGGGCCUGGUUUCCAGCAUGGAAUGAUGAUGCUGUGGACGGUGCUCCUUCCUGAGGGUUGUUUGUGGACUGAUUCCCUCUGGACACACUGGCCGCCCUGGCGAGGAGGAAGUUUGGAUUGAAGGUUUUUCCAACAAUGGGAAAGCUUUUUUUUGAGCAAGUUCCAGUCUGCCAGUAGAAUUCGUGGUGUUUUCUGGUGAAUCACAAGAUGCUGGCGGCUGUGGAAGCUCAUCCUCGUGCUCGGAGGAUGUCGUUGCUCCGUCUAGUCCUCCGCAGGCAUCAGUGUGGCUGGCGUGUCUGUCCCUUUGUUAACACGAUUUGCACAGACGUCCAGCCCAGCGUCAGCUCACCAUCACUGGUUCACUUGGACUCUCCUCUCAUCGCAGAUUCUAGAUUUUCUGGAGACCUGGAACUCAGCAUCCGCCUGAGACUCGCCGAGUGCACCAUCAUGAGAAAUAAUCACGGGCGCAUCCUGACGGCUUCUCUGCGGGUGGGGCCCAUGACUCGGAAAAGCUGUGAACCAGAAUCCUCAUAAUAACUCACCUGCUGUGGGGUCAGCACCUAGGACCUCGAGUGACUCUCGGAGAUGAGAUUAGAUCUCGCCAGAGGGUGGACGGGCUGCCCCUGUUUCCCCACCCACAAACCAGGAUGAUAGCAGCACCGGACAGGCCUUGAGAAGGGUCCAGUGAGAUGGCCAGGUAAGACGCUGAGGGCUCCGGGCACCUGCCCGCUGACGCUGGGCUGCUUUGCUGCAUUGGGCUGAGCUUCCACUUCAGAGACUCAGAUGCUGGGAAACCAGGCCCAGGGCUGCAUCUCGUUGCCUCCAGGGUACCCAGCAUGGUGGAUGCUCCUGGAGCUGCUCGGGAGACAGUCUGCUGAGUGGAUUCAUUGCCUGUGUGGUUAAUGGCACACACCACAAGUUCCCUGUCACUGCUUUCCUUCUUGAUAAACGGUGUAAAUGUUGGGAUGGGGGCCCAGGCCCUGAAUUGUCUCCUGGUGACCCCCAGCGAAGGAGUGGAAAUGAGGACGACCUGACCCAGCCGUCUGCCUCACCUUGUGGACCCGAGAGAAGUGAGCGUCGUGAGAUACCACUGUUUGGAGUCACACAUUAGUUUCCUCUGAGACGCUGCUCUUAUCUUGGGAUGGAAGCACUCUCCGAAACCAAAUUUGAUUCUGUAUUUCAUUAAAUGUCAAUUUAGGCAAAUUUCUCAAUUUUAAUCUUUGCGAGAGCUGAAGGUUUUUCCCACACUUUCCUUGUCACUCUGAUAUGAUAAUUCUUUUUAAAUGUGUGGAGGAUCACUCUGAAUACAUCAGGUUGCUACAGGUAGGGAGAAAAAUUCUAAUUUUUUCUCCUUUUAAUUACAGCUUUUGAAACACCAUAUCGAUUUUUCUCAAAGUCAUUCUAGCUUGUAAUAGUGUAAAAUUAAUUUGAGUGAACGCAGACUUCCCCUGG
rnacentral:lncRNA from 1 species